GGGCUAUCAGACGGUCCAGAGAGGUCCGGCGGGGGCUAUCAGACGGUCCAGAGAGGUCCGGCGGGGCCAUCAGACGGUCCAGAGAGGUCUGAGGGUAUCAGACGGUCCAGAGAGGUCUGAGGGGUAUCAGACGGUCCAGAGAGGUCCGGCGGGGCUAUCAGACGGUCCAGAGAGGUCCGGAGGGGGUAUCAGACGGUCCAGAGAGGUCCGGAGGGGGUAUCAGACGGUCCAGAGAGGUCCGGAGGGGGUAUCAGACGGUCCAGAGAGGUCCGGAGGGGGUAUCAGACGGUCCAGAGAGGUCUGAGGGUAUCAGACAGGGAAGAGCUGUGUUUUGGGCUGCUCAGCCCUCAGACAGAGAACUCCACACCACUACGGCGUGUACGUG